CGCCGUGCCCGCGACGAGAAGGGCCACCCGCGAGUUUUGCCGCGUCACCGUUAUUUCGUCCCGGAUUUUUCGCGUUUUCGACCUUGAGCCUCGUUUCGCAGGAUUUUUCUCCUUUCGCCGUGUUCGUAGAAUCGAUUUAUAAUCUUUAAGGUAUCGAUCAUCACCACUGUAUGUGUUCCUUGAGCCUCCGUUUGCUGCAGGAUUUGGUGUUUCCGCGGUGUUCGCGGUGCCGCUGGUUAAUUACCAUACCCGUGUUCCCCUCGAACCUCGUUUCACAGGACUUGCUUCCUUUCACGGUGUGCGUGUAAUCGAGUUAUCAACCUUUGAGGUAUCGAUCACAACCACUGUAUGUUUUCCUUGAACCUUCGUUUGCAGGAUCUGGUGUUUCCGCGGUGUUCGUGGUGUCGUUGGUUAAUUAUCAAACCGUAUCCGUGAUUCCCUCGAACCUAGUUUCGCUUAGAGAGGUGUUUUUGCGGUGUUCGUGUGACCAAUACCUUUGCGCUUUGAGGUGCCAAUCAUCACUUUCGUAUUCGCGUUGAGCUUCGCUCCGGUGUAUCCACGAAAUCCGUGUUACCUGAGACGCUGUGGUCCCAGCUCGCAGGCUCUGGAGUUACCAUUGUCCGUACGCUUCGCAGUGUUUGUGUUUCCACGUGCGGUUUUUCCGACCGAUCACCGGUUUUCGUGUCUCGGUUACGUGUGCGCUCUUGGUAUCAUGUGGUGUUAUCCAUCUCGGUUUAUGUGAAACCCUCGGCUUUUCAACGGUGCUUCUCUGAUCGUGGUUUUUUUCAGUGAAUCAAUCAACUUAGGUUGUAAUGCCCGCGUUUUUAUCAAGUACGCUUUAACUCUACGUUCAUUUACCUACUCCCCUUUUUUCUUAAGAGGAAUAAUGCAUUUGUUCACGGACUAAUUGAUUCGCAACUAAUUUGUAGGUACCCAGCUACGUUUAUCCGUUCAAAUAUCAAAGUGUCCUAUCUUGUCUGAAGCCAUUUUGAUGUGAAACACAGUGGAAUUUCAUUUUGCAAUUAGGAGCGCUGGCUCAAUCAUAAAAGUACCUAUUUACCUAGAAAUACUAAUGGUACCUACUCAUGAUGUUUCUAAACUGAGACGGGAA
rnacentral:lncRNA from 1 species